rnacentral:rRNA from 1 species
AGGACGAACGCUGGCGGCGUGCUUAACACAUGCAAGUCGAGCGGUGAUCCUCCUUCGGGAGGUGAUCAGCGGCGAACGGGUGAGUAACACGUGGGCAACCUGCCCCUCACACUGGGAUAACCUCGGGAAACCGGGGCUAAUACCGGAUACGACCUCGAGCGGCAUCUCUUGAGGUGGAAAGCUCCGACGGUGAGGGAUGGGCCCGCGGCCUAUCAGCUUGUUGGUGGGGUAAUGGCCUACCAAGGCGACGACGGGUAGCCGGCCUGAGAGGGCGACCGGCCACACUGGGACUGAGACACGGCCCAGACUCCUACGGGAGGCAGCAGUGGGGAAUAUUGCGCAAUGGGCGAAAGCCUGACGCAGCGACGCCGCGUGAGGGAUGAAGGCCUUCGGGUUGUAAACCUCUUCAGCAGGGACGAAGCGAAAGUGACGGUACCUGCAGAAGAAGCACCGGCUAACUACGUGCCAGCAGCCGCGGUAA